CACCCAUAUAUUUAGCACCAGAGCUGUAUCAGGGGGAGGCGUAUGGGAAGCCCGUCGACUGGUGGGCUGUGGGAGUUAUUCUCUAUCAGUUCCUGGUCGGCUCUUUCCCAUUUGAUGGAGAAAAUGAUGAUGAGCUCAGGAACGAAGUCAUCAAUAAAAAUGUCACCUGGCCAGAGGAGAGAGAUGUGGUGCCAUAUGAGGCCCAGGUCAUCAUCAUUCUGCUCCUCAGGAAGAAAGCAUGAAGCGUCUGGGCACAGGAGGAGCCAGUGAGGUGAAGGAACAGCCCUUUUUUCAGGACGUGGACUUCGAUAACCUCAGAAGAAGAGAAGAGAAGAUGGUGCAAGUGGAGAAGAAGAAGAAAGGAGACCAGGAGGGAGAAAAGAAGACGGUUGAGGAGAAGACGACGACAAGGAUGGAGGAAGAUAACGUUUAGGAACAGGAGUGAGAGGAGGUGUGAUGCCAUCUCUCCCUAUCCCUCCACCAUCCCUUCCCCAUCCCUCCAUCAUUCAUCCACCAUCCCUCCACCAUUCCUCCACCAUCUUUUCCCCAUCUCUACCCCAUCCUUCCACCAUUUCUCCCCCAUCUCUCCCCCAUCCCUCAACCAUCUCUCCCCCAUCUCUACCCCAUCCUUCCACCAUUUCUCCCCCAUCUCUCCCCCAUCCCUCAACCAUCUCUCCCCCACUUCUAGCCCAUCCCUCCACCAUCCUUCCACCAUCUCUCCCCCAUCUCCCUCCACCACAAGCAGAAAUAUGUGUCACUAGAAACUGAACUUGAAUCAAUACCAGCCA